rnacentral:rRNA from 1 species
CCUACGUGCGGCAGCAGUGAGGAAUAUUGGUCAAUGGACGAGAGUCUGAACCAGCCAAGUCGCGUGAAGGAUGACUGCCCUAUGGGUUGUCAACUUCUUUUAUAAAGGAAUAAAACGAGGCACGUGUGCCUUUUUGCAUGUACUUUAUGAAUAAGGAUCGGCUAACUCCGUGCCAGCAGCCGCGGUAAUACGGAGGAUCCGAGUGUUAUCCGGAUUUAUUGGGUUUAAAGGGAGCGUAGAUGGGUUGUUAAGUCAGUUGUGAAAGUUUGCGGCUCAACCGUAAAAUUGCAAUUGAUACUGGCAGUCUUGAGUACAGGUGAGGUAGGCGGAAUUCGUGGUGUAGCGGUGAAAUGCUUAGAUAUCACGAAGAACCCCGAUUGCGAAGGCAGCUUACUAAACUGUGACUGACAUUGAUGCUCGAAAGUGUGGGUAUCAAACAGGAUUAGAUACCCCAGUAGUC